rnacentral:lncRNA from 1 species
GUGCUCUACCACUGAGCCAUGACCCUAGCCCUGUAGUUAAAAUUUUGAUAUCAGGUAGCAUGAUUCUUCCCACUUUGUUCUUUUUUUUGGAAUUAUUUUUGGCUACUCUAAUUUUUUGCCUUUCCAUAUAAAUUUUAGAAUCAGCAUGUUGGUAUAUUGUGUUCUUUCUGAUUGAUUUUGUGAAGUCUAAAGAGUACAUUGGGGAGAAUUGACAUUUUAAUAAUAUUGAAUCUCCUGAUCUAUGAACAUGAUGUAUCUCUACGUUUUAUUUAGGUCUUUGAUUUCUUUCAUAAGUGAUUUGUAGUUUUUCAUGUUCAGAUCCUGCACAUACUGUUCAAAUUUAUACUGGGUAUUUCAUUUUUUCUGGUGCUAUUGUAAAUCUUACGUCUUUUUAAUACUAUGGCUAUAACAUUCAUCCUGUAGCCUCUCAAUUUAGAAUCAGUCCUGUAGUGUGUUUUCAUUGAUUUUUUUUUGGUUUUUAACCCAGAUAGUUAAGUGGCCAGGUCUUGUAAAUGAGUAGAUGUUUGACUCCAUGAAUUGAUGUUUCCAGUUCCCAGAUGGGUUCUCAUCACUGUUAGUCAGCCCAUUAUAUUUUAGGUCAGCAACUCUCCUGUUUACCUAUUUCCUCAAACCUUUUCUGCAAGCCUUCUCUCUCAGAAGAUGCCGUCCCUCCCCCAAACACCAAGAACAUAGGGGCAUACUUGGUUGUACCUAUCCUUUUGUCCUUGCAGUCUUAGGGGAAAAGAUACCCUCUUUCUUGCUCAAGGCCAAUCCACUACAUUUUAGUCAUUCAGCUAAGAUAUUAAGUAUCUGUUGUGGGUCAGUUAUUACACUAGGAACUGGGGAGAUGGUAGAGAACAAAGCAGCUCAUAUUUUGAGGGCAGGGGUGAUCAACAAAUAAAUGAACUAGAAAAAAUAUUAGAUAAAAUAGUGUGAUAUCAGGCUGGGGUUAGGGCUCAGUGGUAGAGUGCUUGCCUAGCAUGUGCAAGGCCGUGUGUUCGAUCCUCAGCACCACAUAAAAAUAAAUAAAAUAAAGGUGUUGUGCCCGAUUACAACUAAAAAAGUAAAUAUUAAAAAAAAUAGUGUGAUGUCCUGGCCAGAUGUGGUAGUAGUGCACACCUUAAUCUCAAAAACUCAGGAACCUGAGGCAGGAGUAUCUCAAGUUCAAGGCCAGCCUGGGCAACUUAGCAAGACUCUGUGUCAAAAAUUUAAGAAACAAGGGCUGGGUAUGUAACUUAGUGGUAAAGCACCCCAGGUUCAAUCCCUAAGUACAAAAAAAGUUAUACACACACACUGUGAUGUGAUGGAGAAUGAUGGGUAAUUCAGGGAUGGGCAUUGAAGAGGGGCCUGGUAAUAAAACCGGGGGUGGGGGGAGAAGCAAGUGUUUUAUAUCAGUAAGGUGUAAUUAAUAAAUCAGAAACUACACUGAAUUUUAUUUUUUGCAGUGCUAGGGAUUAAGCACAGGGUCUCUACCACUGAGUUACCUCCCCACCCUACAUUCCAAAUUUUAACAUGAGGAACUAAGUAUUCGGGUGAUGGAAGAGCUGAGAAGCUAAGGAGGCAGGUGGUGAAUUAACCCAGAGAUAUGGCAACAGCAGAAAGGUUCACUUCUAGGGCAGGAGGGAAAAAAGUAGAAGGUAGCAUUACUCAAGUUCAGAAUCUGGGACUACCCAGAAGAAUCAGGAAGGCAGGCCCAACAGGAGCUUGGUCCAUGGAGGGAGCACCAAUCCAAUGGGAGCCGAAGAGGAGAUACAGUCUCUUCUGGAGACGAUACUCAAAGCAUGAUGCUUCAAACAGGGAAAGGAAAGGAAAUACUCGUGAUUUCCCUCCUGCUCUCUAAUCUGUCAAUGAUGUCCAUUGGCCAAACCUAUCAAAUCAAAGUCAAGCCAGGCACAGUGUUGCAUGCCUGUAAUCCCAACAAUUCAGCAAUAUGAGGC